GACGAACGCUGGCGGCGUGCUUAACACAUGCAAGUCGAACGGAAAGGCCCUGCUUUUGUGGGGUGCUCGAGUGGCGAACGGGUGAGUAACACGUGAGUAACCUGCCCUUGACUUUGGGAUAACUUCAGGAAACUGGGGCUAAUACCGGAUAGGAGCUCCUGCUGCAUGGUGGGGGUUGGAAAGUUUCGGCGGUUGGGGAUGGACUCGCGGCUUAUCAGCUUGUUGGUGGGGUAGUGGCUUACCAAGGCUUUGACGGGUAGCCGGCCUGAGAGGGUGACCGGGCCCAGUGGGAAUGGGAAACCGGCCAGGGGCCUUAGGGGGGAAGGAGGGGGGGAUAGUGGCAAAGGGGCCGAGGGCUGGAUGAAGAACUGCGGGUGGGGGAACACGGCCUUCCGGGUGGAAACCGCUUUGGGCUGUUAAGCAGGGUGAGGGACGGAAAUUGGAAAAAAAGCACCGGCAAACCAGGG
rnacentral:rRNA from 1 species